AUUGAACGCUGGCGGAAUGCUUUACACAUGCAAGUCGAACGGCAGCACGGGGCAACCUGGUGGCGAGUGGCGAACGGGUGAGUAAUACAUCGGAACGUGCCCAAUCGUGGGGGAUAACGUAGCGAAAGUUACGCUAAUACCGCAUACGAUCUACGGAUGAAAGCGGGGGAUCGCAAGACCUCGCGCGAAUGGAGCGGCCGAUGUCAGAUUAGGUAGUUGGUGGGGUAAAGGCUCACCAAGCCAACGAUCUGUAGCUGGUCUGAGAGGACGACCAGCCACACUGGAACUGAGACACGGUCCAGACUCCUACGGGAGGCAGCAGUGGGGAAUUUUGGACAAUGGGCGCAAGCCUGAUCCAGCCAUUCCGCGUGCAGGAUGAAGGCCUCGGUGUAAC
rnacentral:rRNA from 1 species